UGUAAACCUGGUAAAUGUUUCGUCUAGUGCAUGCAGACAAGCAGCAAACUGAGGACAAGUGAAACAAGGUUUAUGCUACACAUCUGGACUGGAUUGAAAAGGAUGAAUUUCUAAGGCUGCUGUCAGAGAUCAGAAUUUAUUAUGGUUUUUACUAUUAUACUAUUAUUGUUUCCUUCCACUAUUUUCUCAGAGGCCUUCGACAGUUAGCAGGUGGCUAUUGUUUGUUUGGUUCUUUAUUGCCUGUGCAGCACCAUGGUUAUUACAUCCAUUCUGUUUUAAACAUUUUCUGAUAUGUAAAUUAUUACAUAUUUGUAUGGAUGUGUCUGUAAAAAGGUAUGUAUAGAUUCAGUUUUGAUUCUGCAAGAGUUAUUUCCCUUUGUCUGCAUUUCACUGAUGCACAGGUAGUUGGAUGUUCAACAUGGGUUAUUUUUUAUAUUCUUUUGCAAUUUCACCACUGGCUGAAUAUGAAGUAUGGAAGUAUCUGCUAGCUUGCAGUUUUUGUGGUAGUUUCAUGUAUGAUAUGUACAGCUUUGCAGAAUUACUUAAAAAUGAGGAGCAUUUUAAGGUUAAUUGUUGAAUUAUUUUAUGAGGAAUUACAUUUUGUACAGAAGCCUCAAUAUGAAAUAUUGGAGAGAAAAGAAAUACUCUGUUAUCCCAUUCCUUUAUUGCUGGACUGUUGAUUUUGUCAAAGUAUCUCAGAUUUUGAAUGGCUCAGCUGUACAAUGUUAUAAUUAUCAACAGUGAUGAGUGUACUGAACUUUAUAGUUCCUGAUCAGGUCAGCGUCUAGUAUGCUGAACUAGUCACUGUUAAUGUUCAACAGUGUCCAGUAUGCUGAACUGUUCACUGUUACUUUGUUCAAUAGUGUCUACUAUGCAGAACUGUUCACUGUUAUAUUGUUCAACAGUGUCCAGUAUGCUGAACUUGUCACUGUUAAUGUUCAACAGUGUCUACUAUGCAGAACUGUUCACUGUUACAUUGUUCAACAGUGUCCAGUAUGCUGAACUUGUCACUGUUAAUUGUUCAACAGUGUCCAGUAUGCAGAACUGUUCACUGUUCCAUUGUUCAACAGUGUCUAGUAUGCUGAAUUGUUCAGUGGCAGUGUUAAGCAGUGUCUGGUAUGCGGAACUGUUCAAGGUGAUAGUGUUCAACCCUGUCUAGUAUGCUGAACUGUUUACUGUACGUCUUGAACAAUAUCCAUAGUAAAAACCUUAAAUUAUUCAACACAUCAUCUCAGAUACUAAAGAAGACAUGUCUCAUCUGUUGGUUGUACAUAAAGAUGACAAACAUUUUAUUUAAGACAUCUGAAUAUUGGUAUGGAGGUUGCAACCUAGUUUACACCCAGAAAAAUUUGUUAGAAAUGGUUAUCAAGAGGUUGGUGAGAAACAUUAAAACAAAGUACCUAUCUUAUAGACUUGACAGCAUGACUACUGCUGUUGCCAGCACCCUAUACAGAGUAUGGUAGGAUGUUAUUGUGUUACUUUGGCAAUUAAUACAACUGCUAUACCUGCUUGGUUCUCCAAUAAAACUCCCAGUUCAGUUA